GCCGUGUGUGACAGUUGAGCCCCAACAAGUUCACUGUGGGAAACUUCAGAGGAGAACACGACCUUGAACCGCAGAGAACCAAGCUAACAUGACACACUUGGUGCAGGGAAGUAGCCGGCCGGUAAAGCAACACCAGCUGUAGAGAGCUUUUGUUUUGAUGGGAAUACGCUGAAGGAAGCCGCAGCACUCCUACACAGAACAACAAAUGCAAAGGCUUCACCUGCAGGUUCACAGAGGCUCCAAUGACCUUCACUUCUCUGUUUGGCCCCUAAGCCACUAAAAGGGCGCCCAGCUUAAAGCUCCUGUUCACCCUGAACCCUCUACCCCGAGGCAAGCUGUCCCACCCUUUGUCCUCUCCUUCAUCACCUCCUCCGGC